CCAGCCCAAGGGCCGAGGAAAGCACUCGUGGAGCAACAUCUCUAAAAGAAGCAAAACAAAAAUACGAAUUCUUCUGGAAAAUGCAUUCUCCCUUCAGUCAGUGGUACCCAGCAAGUUUCGAGGUGAAUGGCCAGAAGUACAACUGUGCUGAGCAGGACAUGAUGUACCAGAAAGCAGUGCUGUUUGCUGAUGAGGAAAAUGCUGCAAAAGUUCUCAAGACACAGGAUCCUAAACAACAGAAGUCCCUUGGUCGGAAAGUGAAGAACUGAGAUGAUAAAACAUGGAAGGAUAACUGCCACAGAAUCGUAGAGGAGGCGAAUGAAGCCAAGUUUGGUCAGAAUGAGGGCCUGAAGAAGCAGUUAUUCGCGACAUAUCCCAAGACUCUAGUAGAGGCCAGUCCGGUGGAUGCUAUAUGGGGGAUAGGGUACGCGGAGGACCACGUCAACGCCUGGGAUGAGAGGAGUUGGAGGGGGACCAACUACCUGGGGUAUGCCUUGACAAGGGUUAGGGAGAAAUUGAUGAAGCAAGACGGACUCAAAUGAACAUUUACCAUCAUACCUCUGUAGUACCAUCUCUCAGCCACAUGCUUGCUGCAUGACGGACAACCAGACCUAGAUCAUGGUGACCAUGGUGACAAGAGUGUUUCAAAGUGUUGCUAGGUUACCCACCGGAUGGGUGUCAAUAUCUACAACAAUUAAUUGUUAGAUUUUGCAUCCAAAUUUUCAAUUAUGUAAGCUGGAAGAUAUUAUUUGUUUAAUGUUUUUAAACAGGUUGUUAAAGAUGGCCGCGACCUUCUGAUGGAUGUGAAUCAUGGCGUAGGGAUGCAAGUGUUUUAAUUGUUUCUGUUUUAAAAGUUACGUCCCAACUUUUGUCACAAGAGGCUUUUGUCUCAGGCCAUGCUUCCAUGCUGUGAAAAAAAAAAUUGAAAUACCGUCAGAGAUGUUGUUAAACAAGGACUUGUAUAGACUUGUUAUUUUUUAGAGUAGUUGAUAUUAUUUCUGUAGUGUUGGUGUUAUUUUCUGUUAUUAUACUUAAUAUUGCUGAGUGCGGCGUAAAACUACACUCACCAAACUAUUAUUAUACUAAUCAUUUAAGCAUUUAUUCAAGUGAUGAUAUGUCAGAAUUUCAAAAUCAGUCCACAGGCCCGCCUGUCUUUGUGAGGAUUAAAGAUUUAAAAAGUUAUUUUUUUUAGAUGACCCCCCCAAUUCGAAAUGCUUCCCAGUACAAUACAGUCGGGGGUCAUGAAAAA